GUAAAUUUGUAUUGUAAUACUCGCGUUGAGAAAUACAACGACACUACUUUUUGUAGGUCGUUUCGCUUGUGUCAGGCCACCACAGGAAUGCGGUGAUGCAGCAACCGACCGUGCAGUGGCUUCAAUGGUCGAUGCAUGCAGGUAGAUGGAGCACUGUAUCGAAACGAGUAUACUUGGCAUUAUAAUGUAUAUGGAACGACACUGAAUCGUGAUGGCAAAACGUUUACAAGAUCUGUGGUGGUUGCUGGAGCCUGGAGCCAGCCUCUCAAGUAACAGUUGGCACCCCUGUCCUGCAUGAUUCUGAUGUCGGCCUCGAACGGCACAGUUGUGUGGAAAUGUAACGUCUUUGAGGGUUUGGGUGACCUGAUCUGACUGGAACAGCAACUCAGUUGACACCGCAUUGACCAGUGCAUAAUGCAAGCACAUGCCGCACAAGGAUUGUUUGUCGGUCCACCUGCACGCGUAGGCUCUCCCCGGAAUGAAAAUACCGUCGACAUGCAACACUGUGUUGCCAGUGCACCGCAAACAGUGAUACAGAUUUGAAUAAGAUAGCAACGGGAACUGUCUCAAGUACGUUGAAGUCUUCUAUGCAGCAAUUGCGGUUACCAAGCAGCAGAUUGGCUCGCAGGUGACAACUGUGGAACAGGCACAUAUAAACCAUGACAACGUACCUUUAUCACUCCGUUGUCCAAGUCCGACUCUUCGCUCCAUGCGCAUUGUUUCCAUUUGGCUUGGGCGGCACGCCCGUCUCUGCCUACUGGUCCAGGGACACCGACUGCUCCAGCAGGACCCCUUGGCCCAGCCGGACCUGAGAUGCCUUCCACACCGGGUGCUCCGACAGGCCCCAUUACUCCAGUCUCACCAGCCGGUCCAGAAGGACCCUGUGCUCCAUCCACGCCGUUCAGCCCGUUUCUGCCCGGAGCGCCUGGUUGACCAUUCAGGCCAGGCCAUCCCAUCAACAAGCCACCCACCUCCUGCAGUAGCCACGGCACAAGAGAAUAACACACAAAGUGAACAUGUUAGUAAAUUGACUUGGUUCUCUGCUGACUACAGAAGGUACGGAAGGCAUUGUGUAAUGGACUGCACUGUACAAUCGAAUAGUUUGACCAUCUUCUUGAGUUCCUAUUGCAGUUGUUUCUAUUUUAAGCUCUUUUUCUCUUUGUACACUGUCCUACACUACUUCGCUAUCGACGUCACCAGUACGUAUACAUGGUAUACUUUACAUAUCUGUUAUAGUGUGGUCGUGUAAAAGAAUAUACUGCCUACAAGAAUGAACUCUCAUAUUUUCAUAAUCAUAACAUGGGUUUCAGUUGUAUUAUUAUUAUUUUUAUUACACCUUCCAGUGGCUAAAGAUGAA